CCUACGGGAGGCAGCAGUGAGGAAUAUUGGUCAAUGGGAGAGAUCCUGAACCAGCCAAGCCGCGUGAGGGAAGAAGGCCCUAUGGGUUGUAAACCUCUUUUGUCGGAGAACAAAACCCGGGACGUGUCCCGGACUGCGUGUAUCCGAAGAAAAAGCAUCGGCUAACUCCGUGCAAGCAGCCGCGGUAAUACGGAGGAUGCGAGCGUUAUCCGGAUUUAUUGGGUGUUAAGGGUGCUUAGGCGGUACGUUAAGUCAGCGGUAAAAUGGCGGGGCUCAACCCCGUCGAGCCGGUGAGACUGGCAGACUUGAGUUGGCGAGAAGUACGCUGAAUUCGCGGUGUAGCGGUGAAAUGCAUAGAUAUCGCGCAGAACUCCGAUUGCGAAGGCAGCGUACCGGCUCCAGACUGACGCUGAGGCACGAAAGCGUGGGGAUCGAACAGGAUUAGAUACCCUGGUAGUC
rnacentral:rRNA from 1 species